rnacentral:tRNA from 1 species
GGGGGAUUAGCUCAGUUGGCUAGAGCGCCUGGUUUGCAACCAGGAGGUCAUCGGUUCGAAUCCGAUAUUCUCCA